rnacentral:rRNA from 1 species
GGAGGAUUACUUGUAAAAGAGUACCCUCUGAAAUUUAGUGGCGGGCUCGCUAGAAUUUUGAGCGUAGUAAUUUUAUACCUCGUUUAUAAAGUCUAGCGGUUCUCUUGCCGUAAAACCCCCCAACUUUCUGAAAAUUGACCUCGGAUCAGGUAGGAAUACCCGCUGAACUUAAGCAUAUCAAUAAGCGGAGGAAAAGAAACCAACAGGGAUUGCCCUAGUAACGGCGAGUGAAGCGGCAACAGCUCAAAUUUGAAAUCUGGCUUCGGCCCGAGUUGUAAUUUGCAGAGGAUGUUUAUGGUGCGGUACCUUCCGAGUUCCCUGGAACGGGACGCCACAGAGGGUGAGAGCCCCGUCUGGUUGGAUACCAAACCUGUGUUAAACUCCUUCAACGAGUCGAGUAGUUUGGGAAUGCUGCUCUAAAUGGGAGGUAAAUCUCUUCUAAAGCUAAAUACCGGCCAGAGACCGAUAGCGCACAAGUAGAGUGAUCGAAAGAUGAAAAGCACCUUGAAAAGGGGGUUAAACAGUACGUGAAAUUGUUAAAAGGGAAGCGUUUAUGACCAGACUUGUGUCGUGUGGCUCAUCCGAGGUUCUCCCCGGUGCACUCCACACGGCUCAGGCCAACAUCGGUUCUCGUUGGGGGAUAAGAACAGUAGGAACGUAGCCCUCUUCGGCGGGUGUUAUAGCCUACUGUACGAUACCCUGAUGGGGACCGAGGACCGCGCU